rnacentral:rRNA from 1 species
GACGAACGCUGGCGGCGUGCCUAAUACAUGCAAGUCGAGCGCAGGAAAUCGACGGAACCCUUCGGGGGGAAGUCGACGGAAUGAGCGGCGGACGGGUGAGUAACACGUAAAGAACCUGCCCACAGGUCUGGGAUAACCACGAGAAAUCGGGGCUAAUACCGGAUGGGUCAUCGGACCGCAUGGUCCGAGGAUGAAAGGCGCUUCGGCGUCGCCUGGGGAUGGCUUUGCGGUGCAUUAGCUAGUUGGUGGGGUAAUGGCCCACCAAGGCGACGCUGCAUAGCCGACCUGAGAGGGUGAUCGGCCACACGGGGACUGAGACACGGCCCAGACUCCUACGGGAGGCAGCAGUAGGGAAUCUUCCACAAUGGACGAAAGUCUGAUGGAGCAACGCCGCGUGAACGAUGAAGGCCUUCGGGUCGUAAAGUUCUGUUGUAAGGGAAGAACAAGUGCCGCAGGCAAUGGCGGCACCUUGACGGUACCUUGCGAGAAAGCCACGGCUAACUACGUGCCAGCCGCCGCCGUAA